GAUGAACGCUGGCGGCGUGCCUAAUACAUGCAAGUCGAGCGAACGGACGAGAAGCUUGCUUUUCUGAUGUUAGCGGCGGACGGGUGAGUAACACGUGGAUAACCUACCUAUAAGACUGGGAUAACUUCGGGAAACCGGAGCUAAUACCGGAUAAUAUUUUGAACCGCAUGGUUCAAAAGUGAAAGACGGUCUUGCUGUCACUUAUAGAUGGAUCCGCGCUGCAUUAGCUAGUUGGUAAGGUAACGGCUUACCAAGGCAACGAUGCAUAGCCGACCUGAGAGGGUGAUCGGCCACACUGGAACUGAGACACGGUCCAGACUCCUACGGGAGGCAGCAGUAGGGAAUCUUCCGCAAUGGGCGAAAGCCUGACGGAGCAACGCCGCGUGAGUGAUGAAGGUCUUCGGAUCGUAAAACUCUGUUAUUAGGGAAGAACCUAUGUGUAAGUAACUGUGCACAUCUUGACGGUACCUAAUCAGAAAGCCACGGCUAACUACGUG
rnacentral:rRNA from 1 species